AUUAAAUCUGAAAUAUUGAAACUGUUAAGUGUUUAGGUUCUUACUUGGCAGCACACAGGUAUCAUUAUGCAGAGCCUGUUCAGACACACUCUCUCCAGCAAACAAUACUAGUCCUCCGCCGCCGCACGCCUUCGCUACGCGACGGGCCUCCUCCGCGAGGAGCCUGCUUCCUAUCCGCGACUCGACCAGCUUCCCGACGAUGCAACGGGAUUUCUUACUCCCGCAACCGCCGCGGCCUCUUCUCCUCCCGUAACAGUGAGAGCAAGAUUUUCCUUGAAGGUGGGCUGGGUUGAGCCAGUCCAUUGAGGAGGUGGGCCAAAGUGGGCUGGAUCAAUCAGGCUGGGCUGGCCUGUUUUGACAGCCCUAUUCGUAACCACUUUUUCAGAAACGUUUUUCGUUUAGGCAAGAUUUUGCAAGGACAUGUCUGCUUUGAGCAGCUCAGUCCAUUUCUGCAAAAAUUUUCCACUUCUGGCAACAGUGAAAGAUUAUCAUGGGAACGUUCCACCAAAGAUAUUCUAUUGAGAAAGCUUAAGUUUGCUUUGAGGAAUCAUCAGGUGCAUGAAGCAUGGGAGUCCUUUCAGGAUUUUAGAAGCCUUUAUGGUUACCCUGAGGUUCAUCUAUUGAACGAACUCAUUGUUCAAUUGUCCUAUUCUUCCAAUCAUGUUUGGAUGCGAAAAGCUUGUGAUUUGGUGUUGCAGAUUGUUAGAGAGAAGUCUGGUUUACUUCAUGAUGAUACCUUAACCAAACUCGCCCUCUCCCUUGCUAGGUUGCAAAUGCCAUCCCCUGCCUCAGUGAUACUUAGGUUGAUGCUUGACAAAGGGUGUGUGCCCUCUAUGCAUUUAUUGUCCUUGGUUGUUUUUCAUAUUGUGAAGUCAGAAAUUGGAACACAUCUUUCAUCCAAUUACCUGUUUCAAGUUUGUGAUCUUUACAAUUGCUUGAAUGAUAAGAAGGUUCACCAUGCAGUCACAGUCAAGCUGGAUACAUUGGUCUUUAACCUUGUUCUUGAUGCUUGUGUGAAGUUUAAAUUGUCUUUAAAAGGCCUGAGACUGAUUGAAUUAAUGUCGCUGACUGGGACCAUGGCUGACGCACACUCCAUUGUAAUAAUUUCACAGAUUCUAGAGAUGAAUGGUCUGAGAGAUGAAAUGCAGGAACUGAAAGAUCAUAUUGACAGAGUUUCAGCUGCUUAUGUUUGUCACUAUUGUCAGUUCUAUGAUAGUUUGCUGAGCUUGCACUUCAAAUUUAAUGACAUUGAUGCUGCAGCUAAGCUUGUUCUGGAUAUGACUAGCUCACAUAAUUGUAAUGUUAAGAAAGAAUAUGGGAAACACUUGCAGAAUCCUUGUUUUAUUUCCAUUGGAUCUCCUAACCUUAGGAGUGCAUUGAAGAUACACAUUGAACCUGAGCAAAUGUGUAAGGAUUUUGUCCUUAAAGUUGAAAGCAGACAGGUUUUAAUCUUCUAUAGGGGUGGGAAACUAGUUCUUAGUAAUAGAGCUUUGGCUAAGUUCAUCAGUGGUUACAAGAAAGAUGGGAGGAUUGGUGAACUUUCAAAACUCUUACUUAUUAUUCAAGGGGAAUUAUGUUCAGUGGCAGGCUCCAGUUUGUGUUUUGAUGUAAUCAGUUCUUGUAUUCAAUUAGGAUGGCUUGAGUGUGCUCAUGACAUUUUGGAUGAUAUAGAGGUUACUGGUUUUCCAAUGGGUCAGGAUAUGUAUCUGUUACUUGUGUCGACAUACCAGAAGCGGGGAUUGCAAAGAGAAGCAAAGGCACUACUGAAACAAAUGAAAAAGGUUGGUUUGUUGAACAAAGGUUUAUCUGAUGAUGCUACGGACAAACACAACCUCUGUGAAAAAACAUUAAAUUCACCUGGUAAAACAGAUUUGGCCAUUGCCUUGGCUCAAAUUUUGAAAGAUGAAGAUCAGACAAUUUUUCCUUUGGUGUAUAACUUCAAUUCUUCCAUUUUCUUUUUCUGCAAGGCCAGAAUGAUAGAGGAUGCAUUGAAGACAUAUAGAAGAAUGCUUAGCAUGAAUGUUCAGCCCACAAGUCAAACUUUUUCCUUUUUAAUGUGUGGAUAUUCUUCUCUUGGUAUGUAUCGUGAGAUCACAAUCUUGUGGGGAGACAUUAAGAGAUUCAUGAAGAGUGACAAUUUAGUAGGAAAUAGAGAUCUCUAUGAGUUACUAUUGCUAAACUUUCUUCGAGGUGGUUACUUUGAGAGAGUGAUGGAGGUCAUUAGCCAUAUGAGAGACCAUAACAUGUAUGCUGACAAGUGGAUUUACAAAAUUGAGUUCCUUAGACUUCAUAAAAAUCUUUAUAGGAGUUUAAAAGCAUCAAAUACAAGAACAGAAGCACAAAGCAAACGGCUUGAGCAUGUUCAGGAGUUUAGGAAAUGGGUCGGUAUUGAUUAAAGAAGGUCUCUGGUGGAAUAUUCAUGUGCCGUUGUACCUCCAUGUUUUUCAGCAAACUCCUGUUAAGAAGGCCAAAUUUCUAAAUGCAGUGCUGUGCCAAUGAAUCCUUAAAUAUGUCAGAGUUUGCCCCCAAUACUAUCGAAGCAGGAUAGGUUGUUCAUUGCCACAAAAUGUUACGUUUUGUUUUCGGAUCCAAUGCUCCUAAUGUUUUUGGACUUGGGGAGUUUCGUGCAUGAUGGUCACUAUAUGUUUUGAGGACUUUAAAGCUAUUUUCUUAUUUCCUACUGGUAGACAACUGAAUGAAGCUGAUGUAAGUGAUAAUUCCCUAAAUCCAGCCAGAGUUAGUCAGAAACCAACUUGAUGAAUCAAUUCUCACCUGCAUAUUGCUACAGAAGUUUCAUUUAGGGGAAGAUAUGGAACGUCUUGAUUACUCUAUUUUGUUGAUGACACUGUAUACAUGACACUGUAUAUUCUUAAUCGAAAACUUUCUUUUAUUUCCUUGUAGAAUCCUGCUGACAUAGAAAGUUUGGUAUAAAGUUAGUUACUUGUAUAAAGUUUCCCAUUUUUUAAAUUAUGUUGUUUAAACUUUGCUGUUAUUAAAGUGAAUGUAAUUUACAAUAGCAAUUGUCAUAAGUCAAAACCCAUUAUUUGGUUCUAAAUACGAUUGAAUAGACAAUUUCAAAUUGAUUAUACCAAUAACUCCCACAAAAAUUACAAAAGCUAGAAAGGUAUUCGAUGAAUAAAGAAAACAAAAAAAAAAUGGGUGUGAAGCUUAAG